UGUAAGCGUAUACCAAAGUUGUUGCGGUUAAAACGCUCGUAGUCGGAAUUUGGCAGUUCCGGAUGUGUGCACGUCGUGUGCGCACUUCGCGGGGAUUGCUUUUGUGGUCUUGCGUAGGAUGAGGCACUUUUAUUAGUGAACGUCCUCACGCAACCACUUUUUACUGUGAGAAAAUCAGAGUGCUCAAAGCAGGCAUUUGCCGUGAAUGUAUUAGCAUGGAAUAAUAGGAUAGGACUUGGUUCUAUUUUGUUGGUUUGUUGGGACUGAGUAAUGAUUAAGAGGGACAGUUGGGGGCAUUUGUAUUUCGGUGCUAGAGGUGAAAUUCUUAGAUUACCGAAAGACAAACUGCUGCGAAAGCGUCUGCCAAGGAUGUUUUCAUUGA
rnacentral:rRNA from 1 species